CAGAGCGUGAGGCUCAGUCGUGGCGUCAGCUGCGUGCUGGGCCGACCCUCCCACCCGUGUCGAUUUCUAUCUUGUUGCUUUGGCGGGCCGGGCUACGUCGUCGCUGCCCGUACGGACAUGUGUCGGCCGCCCACCGGUUUCGACUGGAGCGCGUCCGCCAAAGACCUAACCAAAACUCAUGUUGUCUUUGUCGUCUCAGCUUUAUUAUUGAAUUGAUA
rnacentral:misc_RNA from 2 species